CCAUACAAAACCCAAAUCCAUACCACACCACCACUCUGACCCGGCCCUCCUUUUCUUUUCCUUUCCAUCAUCAAACAACCAUCAACAACAACUCAUAACCGAGAAAAACGUACAAUACGCUUAACAGCAAACCAGUGGAAAUACCCAAACUCGACUUCAACAAUUUGGUAAUUUCAACACCAACAAGCAUCGAACAACCAAACCCUAUUAGCUCCGACCCGAUUCGAACUUGAGAUACCCCUUUUUUCACUCUUCCUAUCCCGAAAUUACGAGAACCUUUUAGAAAAGUGCUAGGUGGAAGACAAGUCAAUAUUCCCAUGAAUAUUCCUCUAAUAAUCCAUUGGAAAUUUGUUGGAUUCGUACUAUAAAGGUACGACUGGUGCCCAAUUUCUAUUGGUUGAAAAAAAGCAUUCCCCAAUAUACCCAAUUUUCAAAUUCCUUCAAAAGAAUCCCAAAACUAGUACAAGAUUAGGGGGAAAUUUGGUUAUCAUCCAAAAAAUAUUUAAAAUAUCUCACUUUGCAAAUUUUUAAAUUACCCCCGUCUCCUUAUUACCACAUUGUUUGAGAAUCAAAGAAGGAUCCUAGCUAAUUCUCUAUAAAAGGCUGAUUUGGGAGCAAAAAGAGAGUGUAAAGCUAUUUUUAGAGAAAAAUUAGUGAAUUUUUUUCUGAAUAAAUUGUUUGGAAGUCGUCGACUUCUCGAAAUUCUCAAAAGACCAUUUUUCAGUGGUUGUGAUUUCGAUGGAAGCCCGGAAUGCUGUUUUGCUGGUUCAAAAGAGGAAUGGCUCUACCAUAUAAAGACUCAAGAUGGUUACCAGACCUGUUAACUUUCUGAAAAUAUGGUGGGAUCAUAUGAACAGAGAAGAUAAAAAGAUUGUUAGUACGCAUAUCGGGCACCUGCCUUCACUCAUAGAGAUAGACGCUUGGCCUAAAAUGAUCCUCAUGCUAACGAUAUUUUGGGAUGAUGUCAAUAUGGUGUUUCACUUCACAGACAUUGAAUUGACCCCCACUAUUGAAGAGGUGAGAACUUAUUAUUAAAGCAUUGAUAUAUGUGUCAAGAGCAAAAGUACACUUGAUAAAAACAUUUUAGUCCUCAUUGUAUGGAGUAGUCAAGAGAUCAAGGAUGCCUUUUCAAUCAAUGAUGAUACUUGGUUGGGGAAAUGUGAUGGGGCAAACAUAUCUUUUCGUGAUUUGUAUCACCGGUUUGGAAGGUAUAAUGCUUUUGAGAAGUUCGGACAUAAAUUUGAAUCAGAGGUAAAAUGGGAGGAGAAAAGAGCAUUUGUGUUUGCAGUAGGUCUACUUGGAACUAUGGUGUUCCCACAAGGAGAAUAUGGCACCAUUCGUCCAAGAGUCAUUAUGGUGACGCAUAUAUUUUUUUAUGGAAUUAAAUAUGGUAUCACAAAUGUAUUCUACACCCUAGCUCCCAUGAUUGUAGCUUAAAUAUAUCAAGCUUUGGAAAGGUGUCAAGCCGAGCGUCAUUUCUUUCAAGGUUGCAACCUCAUCUUGCAAUAGUGGAUGAUGACACGAUUAGUAAAGAAUCCUAAAAUGAAGCAGACAGACCCUCGAACAGGGGUGGAUCUUCUAUCGUCGCAUGACAUGUGGUUAUUCCUACACAGGUUUAAGAGAAAGGCAUCUCUGGAAUUUUGGUUUAAGCUUUUUGGGGAAUUAAGAGAUUACAACAUCUAGUGAUCCAUCAGAUAUCUUCGCCCGGGGAAGUACAUCACUCAAGGGGGUGAAUUGACUUUUCUAUUACUCCCAGGUCUCAGGGGGACUCAUCCUUAUAAUCUUAGAAGAGUCCUUAGGCAAUUCAAAAUCAAGUAGGAGACACCGCAAACUGCACAUAUGCUUAGAUUCAUCAUUGAGUAUAAAGAAGGCAAAAUUCUGCUCAAGGACUACAUGGUAGAUGGGUGGAGUAUAAGAAAGAUAGAGAAAGUAUCUUUUUCUAUCAGGUAUGAACCCAAGGUCAGUGACAUUUACAAGGAAUGGUUGAAAAAGAAUCUUGCCAAAAUAUUAACCCCGGGGCUAAAUGUACCCACUGGAAUUAUUAAUAUAGAAUCAGAACAUUAGAUCUGACUCCACAGGCUUCAAGACGAAUUCCAAAUAAGUGAGAUCAUGCACCAACAGAUGCGUAUGUAGUAUGCCUCCACCAUACAUCAAUUGAGAGAAGGGUUAAAUUGAGCUAGGUAAGAGGUUAUGAUGCUAGAUAGUGUUUGGGUGAUUUGGAUGAUUGCAUGAUUUCUCGGAUUAAUAGCAUAGGAAGGAUGACAUAUAAGAACAAAGUGCAGUUGUACGGGAGUGAUCUGAUCAUCAAUAGGUAUCACAUAUGGAAAGAGGUGAAUAAGGCUAAGAAGUCAAGGGCUAAUGAAGGAGCAUCUAGGAGCUAGUCUUUCUGUCCCCUGCCUAGGAACUUGUUCUUUUUUUAUGUUAUUUUCCUUUUCCCUAAAGAUUGUAUCUCUCUUAUUCUACUUUUGUAGGCGUUUAUGCCUUUUUAUGCAUUUAUGAAAAUCUGGGGGGUAAUGGAUUGGCUUUAAAAAGGCAUAUAUUUUCUUCAAAAUUCUUUAGGCCAACCCUUGGCUCAAAAGGGUCACCCCAACUAGGAUAUGUGUUUAGUAUAAUGUUUUUAUGUGAUAUAAAUGUCUUGUGUGUUUAUGUGCAUUUGUUUGAAUCAAAGACAACUUUAUCCACUAUAUUGUUUUAAUGU